GCUUCUUCAUAAGCUCCCACACGAAUUGCUUGAUUCACUGGUUAGACGAUUGGGUCUGUAGCUCAGUUGGUUAGAGCGCACCCCUGAUAAGGGUGAGGUCGGCAGUUCGAAUCUGCCCAGACCCACCAAUUGUUGGUGUGCUGCGUGAUCCGAUACGGGGCCAUAGCUCAGCUGGGAGAGCGCCUGCUUUGCACGCAGGAGGUCAGGAGUUCGAUCCUCCUUGGCUCCACCAUCUAAAACAAUCGUCGAAAGCUCAGAAAUGAAUGUUCGUGAAUGAACAUUGAUUUCUGGUCUUUGCACCAGAACUGUUCUUUAAAAAUUCGGGUAUGUGAUAGAAGUAAGACUGAAUGAUCUCUUUCACUGGUGAUCAUUCAAGUCAAGGUAAAAUUUGCGAGUUCAAGCGCGAAUUUUCGGCGAAUGUCGUCUUCACAGUAUAACCAGAUUGCUUGGGGUUAUAUA
rnacentral:tRNA from 1 species